rnacentral:tRNA from 1 species
GCCAGCAUGGCAUAGUGCUUUGAGUGUUGGACUAUGAUUCUGGAGGCCAGGGUUCGAUUCCCAGCUCAGCCA